rnacentral:rRNA from 1 species
UACGAAGGGGGCUAGCGUUGUUCGGAAUCACUGGGCGUAAAGCGCACGUAGGCGGAUUGUUAAGUCGGGGGUGAAAUCCUGAGGCUCAACCUCAGAACUGCCAUUGAUACUGAAGAUCUUGAGUCCGGGAGAGGUGAGUGGAACUGCGAGUGUAGAGGUGAAAUUCGUAGAUAUUCGCAAGAACACCAGUGGCGAAGGCGGCUCACUGGCCCGGUACUGACGCUGAGGCACGAAAGCGUGGGGAGCAAACAGG